GAAAAGGCAGAAGGGUGAUGGCUACAAGAAGAAAGAACAAGAACAGAAAUAAAGAGCAGCAGGAACAAAUGGAAAAAGUGAAGGCAGAUCUGGAAAAGGAACAAAGAAACACUGUGGAGAUGUGUUGACAGAAACUAGAACAAGAGUGGAGGCACCAGGAACAGGACGCAGCAGUCACAAUUAGAGAAAGUGGCACAGGAAUGCAUUUGGCAGCAGCAGAGGAAAAGCUUCUGCAGUUCCAGAAGAGACAGCUAAAGGAACAAGGCGCAGAGGCAGAAAAACACAGAAAGAAGAACGCCUGGAGUAUGAAAGAAGAAACCAGGAGAAGACAACAUAUGAGGCUGAGGAGCAAAUAAAGAAAGAGGAAGAUGCUGGACUAACUCUAGAGGAAGCCAAACAACAAGCACAGGUUUUAAUCAGCUACUUUCACAGAUUUUACUAACUGGAAACGUGUCCUAAUGGGUGCAGGCAGCAGCUGUGCUCCUCACUGCACUCUCACAGGCAGACACAGGCAGCAGCACC